rnacentral:rRNA from 1 species
AUGAGACCCGGGUGGACCAUUCGGACUCAGGUUAGUCCACAAGGGCAAGGGGAAGACUACCAACUCUGGCGAGGGCCUAUCAUCACACUCUGGCGGGGGUGGUUCAGCCCCUCGCCCUGCUGCUCUCGCACCAGCGCCCUGGACCGGCAUGGUCCACGCUUGGCCCAUGCCCUGGCGGCCCCAUGCUCCUGGUGCAGGCAUCCUCAUCCCGUGCCCCGGGGGCUCCACUCUGUUCCCCAGCAUGGCGGUGCACCAUGGGGUCGUCCACCGGCGCUCGGCUCGGCUCCACCUAUUGUCUGGCACACCAGCCGUGCUCCUGCCCACCCCCUCUACGGUGCGGUGGCUGGCGGAUCUCCCAAUGCCACCCAUCCGACUUGGGACCAGACAGCCCUCAUCCACGCCUUGAACAGUAUGAGAGUGCAGCAAGGUCAGGCUUCCUCGCCAAGCACGGAGUGGUACCUCGAUACUGGAGCUUCCACUCACAUGGCGUCCUUGGAGUAUAAUCUCUUCAUGUCAUCCUUGCUACUCUUCCCGCAUUGUAGUUGGCAAUGGUUCCUCGCUAGCAGUCACACACACUAG